UACGGGGGGGUGCGAGCGUUGUCCGGAAUCACUGGGCGUAAAGGGCGCGUAGGUGGUUUGAUAAGGGUGUGGUGAAAGUCCGGGGCUCAACCCCGGAUCUGCCGUGCCGACUGUCAAACUCGAGGACUGUAGAGGCAGACGGAAUUCCACGUGUAGCAGUGAAAUGCGUAGAGAUGUGGAGGAACACCGAUGGCGAAGGCAGCCCCCUGGGUCAAGAUUGACGCUCAUGCACGAAAGCGUGGGGAGCAAACAGG
rnacentral:rRNA from 1 species